UUGAAGAUGUUGUUUUUACGUGGAUGGAUCAAACCCUAGGAUUAGAUCCCAUCACAUUAGCAUUACAUAUUAGGGUAAGAAGUUUGUAACACUUCGACCAAUUACAUUAAUUUAUUGUCAGAAGACUGAUGAAGGCUAUAACCUCGCUGACAUGUUAACAAAACCGUCACCAAGGAUAAAUUUGAAGGUUCUCUGGAGGAUGUCAAACAAGGGUGUUUCUGGCUCCUUUUCAUUGAUCACGUGUUUGUAUAACCAAGAGGUGAUUUAUAAUAUCCCAAUGGCUUGAGAUCCUAUCCAGUUUAAUGAAUCAGAUAUCCUAUACAGUUUUUUUUUAAUCCUAUGCAGUUUCCAAAAACCGCGAUUUUCCCAGACACAAGAGACGAGCAUAGAGACUCAGGAUCCAGGGCUUUAAGAUUUUG
rnacentral:lncRNA from 1 species